rnacentral:RNase_P_RNA from 2 species
UCAGUUGCAAUCUAGCAUCUGGGGCCAACAUACGAGUAUUCGAUUACUCUUCAAACAUAUGCGCCUCGGGAAGGUCUGAGAUUUGGUCAAAAGUUUGAGGAGAAAUCUUUACAAACUUUUAUUUCCUAGCCGGAAACUUGUACGAUUGAAAAGCAAAAGGACAAGAAAUCCUGUAAAUCUAAUGGAAAUUAAUUUAUUUUCUAUUGGAUAUACAUUGAAAUCUUUUGUGGCCAGCUAUUUCAGUGCAAUGUGCUUGCUGUCCAUUUUCAUAAAAAAUAGAGAAAAAAUGGGACAGAACUCAAUUCAGACUAAUCUGUGACUGA